GGAAAAGAAAACCCUCAGAAGCAACUAAGAGAGCCAUGUUGGUGCUUGUGCCCGGUGCAACAGCCAGAAAUUAUGUGGAAGUUCAUGACCAUGCAGCCACGGAUUAUAAAGGGCAAGGAAAUUUCUUUUCCAGUAGUAUUGAUGACUUCAAACUCACAGUUGAGAAUGAGAGACAUAGAAGGCUGUAAGAGAAUCUCUUAUAAGCAUUACCUGUCAAUAAAACAGCCGAUGGCCAAUGAGCUGAGGCAGGAAAUAGGAGAUGAGACACUGGCAGGAAGAAAGAGGGGGAAAUAAUGAGAGUAUAAAAGAUUCAAGAGAGUUGCAGGAGAAAGACCAAGGAGAAGUUUGUUGUAGUCAACAAAGAUGAAAAUGGAGUUGGAGAUCUGAAGACUGCUUUGACAUCAGCCAUGGAGAUGCAGAGUUUGGAGUUUGCCCAGCUGGUUUCCUGUCUUUAUAGUUAAGUAAUUGGAUGAAUCUCAGAAAAGCCCUUGAACUUUGGACUUUUAACAUUGUUGAGACUGCUAUAGACUAUGGGGACUUUGGAAAUUGUAAUUUUUAUUAUGCUAUGGGUAGGUAUGGCCCCCACAGACUCAUGAGUUUGAACAAGCCUAUGGGGGCCAGGGAGUGUUAUGGGGUGGUUUGAAUAUGUUUGACCCAGGGAAUGACACUAUUAGGAGGUGUGGUCUUAUUGGAGGAAGUGUGUCACUGUGGAGGGGGGGGGGGGCAAUGAGACCUUCCUUCUAACCAUGGAGGAUGCCAGUCUUCUCCUCUUUGCCUUUGGAACAAGAUGUAGAACUCUCAGCUCCUCCUGUGCCAUGCCUGCCUGGGUGCUGCCAUGCUCCUACCUUGAUGAUAAUGUUCUGUACCUCUGAACCUGUAAGCCAGCCCCAAUUAAAUGUCCUUAUAAGAGUUGCCG
rnacentral:lncRNA from 1 species